rnacentral:rRNA from 1 species
GAUGAACGCUGGCUACAGGCUUAACACAUGCAAGUCGAGGGGAAACGACGGGGAAGCUUGCUUCCCCGGGCGUCGACCGGCGCACGGGUGAGUAACGCGUAUCCAACCUGCCUCUGACUGAGGGAUAACCCGUCGAAAGUCGGCCUAAUACCUCAUGGUAUCGUCUGCGGGCAUCCAACGACGAUUAAAGAUUUCAUCGGUCAGGGAUGGGGAUGCGUCUGAUUAGCUUGUUGGCGGGGUAACGGCCCACCAAGGCUACGAUCAGUAGGGGUUCUGAGAGGAAGGUCCCCCACAUUGGAACUGAGACACGGUCCAAACUCCUACGGGAGGCAGCAGUGAGGAAUAUUGGUCAAUGGGCGAGAGCCUGAACCAGCCAAGUAGCGUGCAGGAAGACGGCCCUAUGGGUUGUAAACUGCUUUUAUACGGGGAUAAAGUGAGGGACGUGUCCCUCAUUGCAGGUACCGCAUGAAUAAGGACCGGCUAAUUCCGUG